UUCAAAAUCUUAAUUAAAAUAUAUGGAAGUCUGAGAUAUAUGCAAGUCAAAUUCAUUCAGUUUUUAAAAUUUCAUUUCCACAAAUUGGUUAUGGAUCUGUCACCUGAUCCUGGUAGGAAAAGGGUAAAAAUGGGAGUGUGGGUGAAGUAAUUUCCGAAACCAAGGUCCAGAGAGCACUUUACACCAGCAGGAAUUGGAUGAGCACUUCUUUUUCCUCCUUGAGUCAGCACUGACAGAACAGCCUGCACCAUGUGCUCAGCAGUGGGGCUCGUGGCUGCCCUGUGACAUGGCUGGUGCCGGGUGACACAACACGCUGAUCCUCUGCCGUCACUAGAGAUCCCAAGACAGCACGGAAAGCAAGGAGAUGACUCACAGCUGCAACCAUGCACUCGAGGGCUAAGGACCCAAUUACUCCACUACUCACUCAGGAACAGCAUUAUGCCAAAGGAACUGAAAUGCAGAUAUACAAGUGAUAUUAGUGUCCUUGAAGGAAACAAACCUGAAAUCCUGCUACAAACAAAAGAAAAUGACUGUUAUUUCCUUGACAACUGUUCCUGACAUCACAGGAACCUCUUAGAGGUAACAAUGGAAAACAAAUUUAAGAAAGGAUUUUUUCUUUGCUUAAGCAAAUAUCUUUUAGGUUCUACAAACUCAGAAACAAAGAAAUCAAGAGGCUUUCUUCAUAAUGCUGAAAAUUUUAGCACCAGAACUGUAAACAUCAGCUGACUUUAUUAAAGAAAUCAAACACACACCUU